rnacentral:rRNA from 1 species
GAUGAACGCUGGCGGCGUGCCUAAUACAUGCAAGUCGAGCGAAUGGAUUAAGAGCUUGCUCUUAUGAAGUUAGCGGCGGACGGGUGAGUAACACGUGGGUAACCUGCCCAUAAGACUGGGAUAACUCCGGGAAACCGGGCUAAUACCGGAUAACAUUUUGAACCGCAUGGUUCGAAAUUGAAAGGCGGCUUCGGCUGUCACUUAAGGAUGGACCCGCGUCGCAUUAGCUAGUUGGUGAGGUAACGGCUCACCAAGGCAACGAUGCGUAGCCGACCUGAUAGCGUGAUGGGCCACACUGCGACUGGAGCACGGCCCAGCACCCUACGGGAGGCAGCAGUAGGGAAUCUUCCGCAAUGACCGAAAGUGUGACGGAGCAACGCCGCGUGAGUGAUGGAGGCUUUCGGGUCGUAUAACUCUGUUGUUAGGGAAGAACAAGUGCUAGUUGAAUAAGCUGGCACCUUGACGGUACCUAACCAGAAAGCCACGGCUAACUACGUGCCAGCCGCCGCCGUAA